rnacentral:rRNA from 1 species
AUUGAACGCUGGCGGCAGGCCUAACACAUGCAAGUCGAGCGGAUGAAGGGAGCUUGCUCCUGGAUUCAGCGGCGGACGGGUGAGUAAUGCCUAGGAAUCUGCCUGGUAGUGGGGGAUAACGUCCGGAAACGGGCGCUAAUACCGCAUACGUCCUGAGGGAGAAAGUGGGGGAUCUUCGGACCUCACGCUAUCAGAUGAGCCUAGGUCGGAUUAGCUAGUUGGUGGGGUAAAGGCCUACCAAGGCGACGAUCCGUAACUGGUCUGAGAGGAUGAUCAGUCACACUGGAACUGAGACACGGUCCAGACUCCUACGGGAGGCAGCAGUGGGGAAUAUUGGACAAUGGGCGAAAGCCUGAUCCAGCCAUGCCGCGUGUGUGAAGAAGGUCUUCGGAUUGUAAAGCACUUUAAUUUGGGAGGAAGGGCAGUAAGUUAAUACCUUGCUGUUUUGACGUUACCAACAGAAUAAGCACCGGCUAACUUCGUG